UACGUAGGGUGCGAGCGUUAAUCGGUAUUACUGGGCGUAAAGCGUGCGCAGGCGGUUUUGUAAGACAGGGGUGAAAUCCCCGGGCUUAACCUGGGAAUGGCAUUUUGAACUGGCAGUCUAGAGUGUGUCAGAGGGGGGUGGAAUUCCACGUGUAGCAGUGAAAUGCGUAGAUAUGUGGAGGAACACCAAUGGCGAAGGCAGCCCCCUGGGAUAACACUGACGCUCGUGUACGAAAGCGUGGGUAGCAAACAGG
rnacentral:rRNA from 1 species